rnacentral:misc_RNA from 1 species
CCACGCCCGAAGUCGUUACCUCAACCGCAAGGAGGGGGAUGCCUAAGGCGGGGCUAGUGACUGGGGUGAAGUCGUAACAAGGUAGCCGUACCGGAAGGUGUGGCUGGAUCACCUCCUUAAAGGGAGACCUAAUUCAGGUAGGAGACGAAAAAAAAGUAGUCCCUACCAAGAAUCAAUCCCAAAAGGUCGGAGCGAGGCAAAAUUGGCUUUCAAACUAGGUUCUGGGUUCACACAAGACCUGAAUCAGGAACAAGGGCUAUUAGCUCAGGUGGUUAGAGCGCACCCCUGAUAAGGGUGAGGUCCCUGGUUCGAGUCCAGGAUGGCCCACCUGUACAGGUGGCAAAAAGAAAGAAAAGAAGCGAGGAAUCAGCACCUUAUCUUACUUAUAUAGUAAGAGAGAAUGCUGGCUCUGAGUAAAGAGUCCAGAGGAACCUUGAAAACUGCAUAGAGCUAGGUGAAAAAGCCAAAAAAGAAGACCGCAAGGUCAAGCUAAUAAGGGCUAACGGUGGAUACCUAGGCACACAGAGG